rnacentral:rRNA from 1 species
GACGAGCGCUGGCGGCGUGCUUAACACAUGCAAGUCGAACGGAAAGGCCCUGCUUUUGUGGGGUGCUCGAGUGGCGAACGGGUGAGUAACACGUGAGUAACCUGCCCUUGACUUUGGGAUAACUUCAGGAAACUGGGGCUAAUACCGGAUAGGAGCUCCUGCUGCAUGGUGGGGGUUGGAAAGUUUCGGCGGUUGGGGAUGGACUCGCGGCUUAUCAGCUUGUUGGUGGGGUAGUGGCUUACCGAGGCUUUGACGGGUAGCCGGCCUGAGAGGGUGACCGGCCACAUUGGGACUGAGAUACGGCCCAGACUCCUACGGGAGGCAGCAGUGGGGAAUAUUGCACAAUGGGCGGAAGCCUGAUGCAGCAACGCCGCGUGCGGGAUGACGGCCUUCGGGUUGUAAACCGCUUUCGCCUGUGACGAAGCGUGAGUGACGGUAAUGGGUAAAGAAGCACCGGCUAACUACGUG